GGCAACAAAACCUUCAGACCAAUAAAAAAAAGGUUAUGUGAAGCUGCUACUUCGUUUGUCCAAGUGGAAGCUCCUGAUUGGCCGAGUUGAAACCUUUGCCCUGCCCCUAGGUAGCUCUCCCCCCGGCUUUUUUUUUUAUCUCAUUUCAGAAGUAGUAAAGCUGUGACGAGUAUUGUGCCUUAGGGAGGUCUAAGAAGAAAUGUUUUGGUCUCUGACACUUGUCAACGAUUGUGAUCGUAUCCGAAUUCAGUGCUGUAGAGGUUGAAGAAACAAGAGGUGGUUUUAGUAAGAUUUAACUCCACGCUGCUAAAUGGGAUGUUGAAUUAGAAUCGAGAGAAUUAUAACUCAAGCAUAUAUGGAACAACUAUAGUGGGACUAAAGCAAUUGUUCAAGGAGGCGGCUGUGUAUUCGCCUAAUCUACCAAGAGGUUUGGGAAACUCCAGAAGACUACAUCCG